UGCAAAACCGUUCCCGCUGAAAAUUAAAACAGGGCGGGUUUCUCUCCUGCCACCAAAACCCUAUCCUUUAUUGGCUCCCUUUUCAUUCCUAGUAAUACCUCACUGCUCCACGUCUCUUGGCCUUCUCCCUUCAAGAGAGAUUCUCAAUCAAUCGAACCGGCAUUGCAGGUCCUUCUCCUUCCGCCGAGGGUUUGUAUUCUCUGCUGUUGCUGGUUCUUCCUUCUGCUGAGACGGAACUCUUCUCUAUUUCUUUUUAUUCCUUCACCGUGGCACGAAAUCUUGAAGAAGAACGUCUGCUGUCUUUGUAGAGGAAUAGUAUGAUCUUGGAGCUCUGUAAUCGGUUGCUUCAAAGUUCCAGCAUUUGGUCAAGGAAGAACUGGGAGAACCCAAGAGACCCAGAUAAAGUGCUAGUGAAACUUGGAUGCUCCUAAGAGUGGUUGUUCCAAUGCUCGUAGUACUAAUGCAGAGUAGGUCCUUCAUGGAGUACUUCAUUUUGUGUUCUGAAGUACCACACUGUCAGGUUUUAUCAGAUGAUAAAAGAUGACCAUGUAUGAUCAAUAUGGUGAAGCUAUAGUUAAGAGUUUUGCUGGGGGAUCAGCUAGAGCUAGCAUACAUGGUAUUGCAGAUCUGCUUCUGCAGGCAUUAAAUCAUUCCGCAGUGUUUUUCACCCAUGGCCAUUAGAUAUUAUGGUUUUAAUAUUUUCGGUUUUAAUAGACUCAUUGUCACUGUCAUUAUUUUCUUCAUCUUCUCGCCAUUUUAUGUUUUGCAGCUACAUGAUUCUUGUUCUUUUUGGGCAAAAAGUUUGAAGUCUUGGGGAGAUCAGGUCAUUAAGGAACAACAAUUUACAAAAUGAGAUUUUUCGGAAGCAGUAUGUUUUCUAGAAUGUUAACCAAGAAAACUUCUAUUAUCUUAUGCCAUAUGCAUACCUACUGAUGAUGUGAACCUUUUUGUAGGAAGUAAUCUUUAUGCAGGUAAAUAUCAUGCUGAUAAAUAUCUAGCUGAUCUUUAUGCAGCUAGAUCUUUUCUCACAUGUCAAGUUUUGAUCUAAUUGAAAUUGAUCACAUGGUCAAACAAACCAUUAAAUUUAGAUGAAUCUUGAGUUUACUAAAUGAACAUUUG